rnacentral:rRNA from 1 species
GACGAACGCUGGCGGCGUGCUUAACACAUGCAAGUCGAACGGAAAGGCCCUGCUUUUGUGGGGUGCUCGAGUGGCGAACGGGUGAGUAACACGUGAGUAACCUGCCCUUGACUUUGGGAUAACUUCAGGAAACUGGGGCUAAUACCGGAUAGGAGCUCCUGCUGCAUGGUGGGGGUUGGAAAGUUUCGGCGGUUGGGGAUGGACUCGCGGCUUAUCAGCUUGUUGGUGGGGUAGUGGCUUACCAAGGCUUUGGCGGGUAGCCGGCCUGAGAGGGUGACCGGCCACAUUGGGACUGAGAUACGGCCCAGACUCCUACGGGAGGCAGCAGUGGGGAAUAUUGCACAAUGGGCGGAAGCCUGAUGAAGCAACGCCGCGUGCGGGAUGACGGCCUUCGGGUAGUAAACCGCUUUCGCCUGUGACGAAGCGUGAGUGACGGUAAUGGGUAAAGAAGCACCGGCUAAUUACGG